rnacentral:rRNA from 1 species
UACGUAGGGUCCGAGCGUUGUCCGGAAUUAUUGGGCGUAAAGGGCUCGUAGGCGGUCCGUCACGUCGGGAGUGAAAACUCAGGGCUCAACCCUGAGCGUGCUUCCGAUACGGGCGGACUAGAGGUAUGCAGGGGGAGAACGGAAUUCCUGGUGUAGCGGUGGAAUGCGCAGAUAUCAGGAGGAACACCGGUGGCGAAGGCGGUUCUCUGGGCAUGACCUGACGCUGAGGAGCGAAAGUGUGGGGAGCGAACAGG